CCAACCCAUCCCACCUCGUCCCCAAACCAAACACAUGCACGCAAAUGGCUUGUUGAGGAAUAAACAUCUUGCUCCCUUGCAUUCUAAACUAUGAUAUUCUUCAAGCAUAUGUGUUUGGUUUAGGGAUGAGGUGGGAUGGGUUAGGUCCA
rnacentral:miRNA from 2 species